CCUACGGGUGGCAGCAGUGGGGAAUAGUGGACAAUGGGCGAAAGCCUGAUCCAGCCAUGCCGCGUGUGUGAAGAAGGCCUUCGGGUUGUAAAGCACUUUCAGUGGGGAAGAAAGCCUUGGGGCUAAUACCCUCGAGGAAGGACAUCACCCACAGAAGAAGCACCGGCUAACUCCGUGCCAGCAGCCGCGGUAAUACGGAGGGUGCGAGCGUUAAUCGGAAUUACUGGGCGUAAAGCGCGCGUAGGCGGUCUGAUAAGCCGGUUGUGAAAGCCCCGGGCUCAACCUGGGAACGGCAUCCGGAACUGUCAGGCUAGAGUGCAGGAGAGGAAGGUAGAAUUCCCGGUGUAGCGGUGAAAUGCGUAGAGAUCGGGAGGAAUACCAGUGGCGAAGGCGGCCUUCUGGACUGACACUGACGCUGAGGUGCGAAAGCGUGGGUAGCAAACAGGAUUAGAUACCCUAGUAGUC
rnacentral:rRNA from 1 species